rnacentral:rRNA from 1 species
CCUACGGGGGGCUGCAGUGGGGAAUAUUGGACAAUGGGCGCAAGCCUGAUCCAGCCAUACCGCGUGGGUGAAGAAGGCCUUCGGGUUGUAAAGCCCUUUUGUUGGGAAAGAAAAGCAGCGGGCUAAUACCCAGCUGUUCUGACGGUACCCAAAGAAUAAGCACCGGCUAACUUCGUGCCAGCAGCCGCGGUAAUACGAAGGGUGCAAGCGUUACUCGGAAUUACUGGGCGUAAAGCGUGCGUAGGUGGUUGUUUAAGUCUGUUGUGAAAGCCCUGGGCUCAACCUGGGAACUGCAGUGGAAACUGGAUGACUAGAGUGUGGUAGAGGGUAGCGGAAUUCCCGGUGUAGCAGUGAAAUGCGUAGAGAUCGGGAGGAACAUCCAUGGCGAAGGCAGCUACCUGGACCAACACUGACACUGAGGCACGAAAGCGU